AGAGGUAUGGUUCAGCAGUAGAGCGGCUGCCUGCCAAGUACAAGGCUCUGAGUUCAAAUCACAAUACCACCA
rnacentral:tRNA from 1 species